AGGAUGGUGCACAGUCCAAACUAUCAGGCUGUGCCCUAGGAGAAUCUUAGAAGCUGGGCCUAAGGAAAAGACGCCUCCCUCCUUUCCACAGCCAAUUCUAGAGCUCUCAGGAUGGCUCGCCUUUCUUGAUAGCCCUCCCUCGAUAGCUAUAUCCUCUGCAGAGAGUAUAAUUACAGGUCCUCUUCUUUCAACUCCACCUUAUGACCUGAAGCGCAGUGGCUCUGCAGAGUAUGAACGAUGUGGACUCUGUGCAUCCAGCCUUUUAUCACCAGUCAAAUUCUCUGUGCUCACAGGGGAGACAGUUUGUUUACAGAAAAGCUAGGGAGAAAAUGAAAAGAAACAGAUUGUUUUGGGAAAACUUGACUCUCUUGACAACAGCCAAAACAACACUCGGACAACCCAGUCUACAAAGACACAUAAAGAAGAUUUGAAGAGAGAUGUUUAGCCCCUAACAGACAGAUCUUCAAAGAAUUAAUCUCAGCCAUGGAACCGAGAGAGUAUUUCCUUCCUACCUGCAAGUUACUCCUAUAUUUUAUCACAAAGUCUCUAGACAUCCCAGGACUGAAGACUCAUCUUCAUGUACCAGUAGAGAGGAAGUGUGUGUGUGUCUGGGUUUCCUUUGAUACUAGAUUCCUAUAUUAGCAAGGUCAGCUCCCAACUACUGCACCUGGCAACACAGUUUGGGGAGGAGGUGAGCAGCCAAUUGUGGUAAAAGAACAGGUUAGAGACUAUUUGGAAAAGCUGCAUGUGUACAAGUCCAUGAGGAUGGACACAAUGAACCCAAGGAUACUGAGGGAAUUGGAUGAUGCGAUUGCAGAGCUACUGACCAUUAUUUUUUGAAAAAUUGGGGUGAUCAGGAGAGGUCCUGGACGAUUAGAAAAGGACAAAUACCGUGUCCAUCUUUAAGAAAGGGAAGAAGGCGGAUCCAGGGAACUACAGACAGGUCAGCCUUGCCUCAGUCCCUGGAAAAAUCAUGGACCAGGUCCUCAAGGAAUCUAUUUCUAAAUACUUGAAGGAUAAGAAGGUGCUUAAGAACAGUCACCAUGGAUUCACCCAGAGCAAAUCAUGCUUUACCAACAUGAUUGCCUUCUGUGAUGAGAUAACUGGUUCUCUGGUUGUGUGGAGAGCAGUGGAUGUGAUAUACCUUUACUUCAGCAAGGCUUUUAAUACAGUCUCCCAUAGAUUCUUGCAAGCAAGCUAAGGAAGUAUGGGCUGGAUGAAUGGACUGUAAGCUGGAUAUAAAACUGGCUGAAUUAUUGAGUUCAAAGGGUAGUAAUCAAUUGUCUGAUGCCUAGUUGGCAGCCAGUCUCAAGUGGAAUGCCUCAAGGGUCAGUCAAGGGGCCAGUUUUGUUCAAUAUCUUCAUUAGCAAUCUGGAAGAUGGCAUAGAGUGCACCCUCAGCAAGUUUGCAGACACCAAGCAAGGUGGAGUAGUAGAUACGCUGGAGGGUAGAGCUAGGAUUCAGACACAUAGACCAACUGGAAGUAAGGAACCAAAAGAAAUCGCAUGAUUUUUAAGACCUGAGUUAGGUUAGACAAAGCCUUGGCUGGGAGGAUAUUCCUAACAGUUCUGCUAUAAGCAGGUGGUGGGACAAGAUGACCUCCUGAGGUCCCUUCCAACUUUAAUUUUCUAGGAUUCCAUUUCUGUUCCCAACACAGGAGUUUAUUUUAGUUUUAGUAACCCACUCUCACGCAAUCUUCUGCCCCCACCAGUUGCAGGAUGUCUCAAUUGUUUCAUGAAACGCAAAUAAAGUAUCUGCCUUCCUAGCAUUCUGGGUACCUUUAUAAUAAGCAAAAGUUAUGACAAUAUGGUGUUUCAUAUUUCAUAUAAAUCUCACAUAGUGGCACGAAAGGUUUCUUCCUGUCAGCUAGCAUCACUCUCAAACCAUAGCAUCACAAAUUCAUAUCUCUAAGGUCAGCAGGGGCCAUUGUGAUUAUCUAGUUUGAUCUACAGGCCAAAGCAGUUCUUAGAGUUAAUU